ensembl:lncRNA
AUCUUUACUUAGGAGUUUAUUGGGUUCAUUAUCAAGAGAGAACAACAAAGAAGUGUUUGAAGACUGGAUCCAGUGAGACCUGGUUUUCUACAGAUUUAUGGCUUGAGGCUCAGCACCUAAGAGGACUUUGUACUGCCUAACAGCAGUUACGCUCACAUUGUACAUUUUCCCCCAGCUGGGAACGGUAAUAGGGUCUUUCCUACCCAUAUUUCCACCUUCUUGUAACUCAGAGAAAGUUUUUAUCUUUCACAUCUUUGGCCCUCUGUCAAAGUUGCUUAAAUUGACUGGUGAAUUUAAAAACUGUUGAGAUUACCUGGACUGAAAAUCAACAAAAGUGAUGGAAUUAGCCUUGCUUCCUUAGCAAACUCAAAGCUAAUCAACACUACGUUAGAGGGACAGAAACUUCAGACUUCAAAAUGGAAUCAAACAGCAGCAGAAAGAAUGACCUUUUCAAAGCCAGGCAAGCAUUUUCAUUAUUAUCAACAAUAAUGACUAAUAAAGUAAUGACAAUAACAGCCGACCUUUUACGUUAUGGCUUACAUCUCAAAGUGCUUUUCAAGCUUCUUUUUUCCACUUUCAGAGUAAUUUUCUCCAAAUGCAACAAUAUGACCUACCUUUUUGCAGCAUUUCUGAAGGCUAGUCUCCCUCUGGAUAGGACAAAGGCAAUCACGUGGCUGGCAAUGCACUGCACAUCAGUAGUGGAGGGAGAGGAAAUCUUAGACAAAGACAUUUAGAUGGAAUUCAGGAUUUUUUUAAUACUAAAGCAAGAAAGCCAAGACCUAAAUGGUACAUGUCUUACUCGCUUUCUUGGCUACAGUAGGCAAAAAGUGAGCAUUAUUGUAGCUAAUACGCCCCGAAGCCGAUGGCUUGUCAAUAUGAGGAGCUGAGUUAGGGUCAGAGUUGUGCUGUGAAUGCCGAACCGUGGCAGCUGGUUUUGUGAGCUGUGCAGUGAUGUGUGAUUGCACAGACUGUAAAAGAUCCACAGCGCGCUCCAGAUGCAGCCUCAAAACCAAAGUGGUAAAUGCUACUGUUCCGAGGACUUGGAUGCCAAGGAUGUCUUCAAAGAGAUAGAAAUGACCAUCAGAAACCCUUCAGAAGUAUUGCUGAUGAGAUGCAACUUAGCUUAGCUUUUGGGACUGCGUGGCUUUUUUUGAA